rnacentral:rRNA from 1 species
AAUCAACGCUGGCGGCGUGCCUCAGACAUGCAAGUCGAACGAUUAAGACUUCCUUCGGGAAGUGCAUAAAGUGGCGCACGGGUGAGUAACACGUAAGUAAUCUACCCUCGAGUGGGGAAUAACAGUCGGAAACGACUGCUAAUACCGCAUAAUGCAGCGGCACCGCAAGGUGACAGUUGUUAAAGGAGCAAUCCGCUUGAGGAGGAGCUUGCGGCAGAUUAGCUAGUUGGUAAGGUAACGGCUUACCAAGGCUACGAUCUGUAUCCGGUCUAAGAGGACGGUCGGACGCACUGACACUGAAUAACGGGUCAGACUCCUACGGGAGGCAGCAGUCGGGAAUUUUGGGCAAUGGGCGAAAGCCUGACCCAGCAACGCCGCGUGAAGGAUGAAGUAUUUCGGUAUGUAAACUUCGAAAGAAUAGGAAGAAUAAAUGACGGUACUAUUUAUAAGCUCCGGCUAACUACGUGCCAGCCGCCGCCGUAAUAC